CGAUGAAGGACGUGGUAGCCUGCGAUAAGCUUCGGGGAGUCGGCAAACUGACUUUGAUCCGGAGAUUUCCGAAUGGGGAAACCCACCUGUCAUAAGGCAGGUAUUCUACACUGAAUACAUAGGUGUAGGAGGCAAACCCGGGGAACUGAAACAUCUAAGUACCCGGAGGAAAAGAAAUCAAUUGAGAUUCCCUCAGUAGCGGCGAGCGAAAGGGGAACAGCCCGUAAGCAGUGGUGUAGGUAAUGGAACGGUCUGUAAAGUCCGAGGAUACAAGGGGAUAGGCCUGUAC
rnacentral:rRNA from 1 species